rnacentral:rRNA from 1 species
UACGGAGGGUGCAAGCGUUAUUCGGAUUUACUGGGCGUAAAGGGCGCGUAGGCGGUCGUAUAAGUCAGAUGUGAAAGCCCGGGGCUCAACCCCGGAAGUGCAUUUGAUACUGUAAGACUUGAUUAUGGGAGAAGGAAGUGGAAUUCCUGGUGUAGAGGUGAAAUUCGUAGAUAUCAGGAGGAACACCGGUGGCGAAGGCGACUUCCUGGACCAAUACUGACGCUGAGGCGCGAAGGCGUUGGUAGCAAACAUG